rnacentral:rRNA from 1 species
GACGAACGCUGGCGGCGUGCUUAACACAUGCAAGUCGAACGAAGAGCGAUGGAAGCUUGCUUCUAUCAAUCUUAGUGGCGAACGGGUGAGUAACGCGUAAUCAACCUGCCCUUCAGAGGGGGACAACAGUUGGAAACGACUGCUAAUACCGCAUACGAUCUAAUCUCGGCAUCGAGGAUAGAUGAAAGGUGGCCUCUACAUGUAAGCUAUCACUGAAGGAGGGGAUUGCGUCUGAUUAGCUAGUUGGAGGGGUAACGGCCCACCAAGGCGAUGAUCAGUAGCCGGUCUGAGAGGAUGAACGGCCACAUUGGGACUGAGACACGGCCCAGACUCCUACGGGAGGCAGCAGUGGGGAAUCUUCCGCAAUGGACGAAAGUCUGACGGAGCAACGCCGCGUGAGUGAUGACGGCCUUCGGGUUGUAAAGCUCUGUUAAUCGGGACGAAAGGCCUUCCUGCGAAUAGUGAGAAAGGAAUGACGGUAACCC